rnacentral:rRNA from 1 species
UACGAAGGGGGCUAGCGUUACUCGGAUUGACUGGGCGUAAAGGGCGCGUAGGCGGUUUGUACAGUCAGAUGUGAAAUCCCGAGGCUCAACCUCGGAACUGCGUCUGAAACUACUCGACUAGAGUACUGGAGAGGGAAACGGAAUUCACGGUGUAGCAGUGAAAUGCGUAGAUAUCGUGAGGAACACCAGAGGCGAAGGCGGUUUCCUGGACAGUUACUGACGCUCAGGCACGAAAGCAUGGGGAGCAAAAGGG